CCGUAGGGGAACCUGCGGAAGGAUCAUUCACACGCAUCCAAAUCGAUUCAUUGUGAACCACCUGCUGUGAUUUGUGCCUCUGGAUGGAGACAACUCGUCUACAACUUUGGGCAGAAAUCGCGGGUAGUCCGGGUGAUAUUGGACCGUCUUCCUUUAUUGUCUGGCUACCAUGUUUGUUUGGACGAUGUGCUACUUGGUGAUCAAUCUUCCAUCUUGCGUGGGUGACCACCAUUAUGUUUAAGAUACAACUUUCAGCGACGGAUGUCUCGGCUCGAACAACGAUGAAGGGCGCAGCGAAGUGUGAUAAGCAUUGUGAAUUGCAGAAUUCCGUGAACCAAUAGGGAUUUGAACGUAUACUGCGCUUUCGGGAUAUCCCUGAAAGCAUGCCUGCUUCAGUGUCAAUAUGCUUACAUGCCACUGUCAACUUGUCAUGUGCGCUGCACAUGCAUUGACAGUAGUGCGUAUCUGUGGAUUAAGGUGCUCUGUGCCCUUGAUACAUGUAGUGUAUGGGUUCAGUGCUGCAUCAACAACUUGAUAAACACCUUGUGUGUAACCUGUUGCUUUGUCUGCUGCACUGACAACCUUGCCUCUGAUCCUGCUUGCAUGGAUUCUUUUCAUGACAUGAAGUUAGGUGAGCAAACCCGCUGA
rnacentral:rRNA from 1 species